rnacentral:lncRNA from 1 species
AUGGAGAGAGGCAUGGCAACUCCAUCAGCCACCUCCCUCAGGACCCUGGGAUGCACGGCAUCGGGCCACACAGACUUGUACCUGCUCAGUUGCAUCAGGAGGUCCCGAACCUGCUCUUCACUUACAGUGGGAGGGACUUGGCUCCCCCAGCUCCUGCCCGGAGGUUCGGAGAGAUGUGGGAAGCAGGGGAGGAGGGAGGGGAGGCAGGGUACUGGCGGCAGGGAAGAAGCCUCAAAGCCUGAGAGGGGCUCUCACCGGUGCUGCGCUGCAAGCACAGGUCAGUGCUCUGGGCGGUUCCCUCAGCAGCUUCUUUUCAGCUCUUCUGUGCUCCCUGUGAGUAUGGCUGUUGGUGGUAGGACUCCCUCGAAUCCCGGUUGUGCAGCACUGCUGGGUUUUUGGGGGGUUAAUGGAUUGUGGGAAGCCAAAGAUCCAUUGCAAUGUGGCUUUGUGUGCUGGCGUCAAGGCUUCUUAGUGCACAUAUUUGGCUGUUUCAGAUGUUUCACAGAACUGAAAGCUGCUGUACAAGAGCAGCGCAGCCUUCCAGGAUUCUGUCCUCAGGAAGAGUGCUGCUCUCCGGGGUGGGGUGCCCACGCGGUGUGCCCAGGUGUGCAGCGCUCUGCACGCGCAGCCGAUGUGCUUCCUGCUGAGACCCGCGCCACUCGCAGCCCAGUCAGGGGGAAAGGAAGGCUUCUUUUCCUGCAGGCAGCAUUAUUAAGUGUGCAGAGCUUCACCCAAGGGACAAGGGCCUGUGAUGCUCUGGCUCUGCAGAGGAGAGUGGAUGCGCGCCUGGCUGUCCUAGUUGCCUGUGGCAUUGGACUUUUUGAUAGUAAAACAGAUGCAAAGUAA